GCCGGGGUGGCGGAACUGGCAGACGCACGGGACUUAAAAUCCCGGGGACCGGCAGGUCCGUGCGGGUUCGAGUCCCGCCCCCGGCACCA
rnacentral:tRNA from 1 species